rnacentral:rRNA from 1 species
AACGAACGCUGGCGGCAUGCCUAACACAUGCAAGUCGAACGAGAUCUUCGGAUCUAGUGGCGCACGGGUGCGUAACGCGUGGGAAUCUGCCCUUUGCUUCGGAAUAACAGUGAGAAAUUACUGCUAAUACCGGAUGAUGUCUUCGGACCAAAGAUUUAUCGGCAAAGGAUGAGCCCGAGUAGGAUUAGGUAGUUGGUGGGGUAAUGGCCUCCCAAGCCGACGAUCCUUAGCUGGUAUGAGAGGAUGAUCAGCCACACUGGGACUGAGACACGGCCCAGACUCCUACGGGAGGCAGGAGUGGGGAACAUUGGAACGUGGGGGAAACCAUGAUCCAGCAAGGCUCGGUGAGCGAUGAAGGCAUUAGGGUAGUAAAGCGUUUUUAACAGUGCUGAUAAUGACAGUACCUGGAGAAUAAGCCACGGCUAACUACGU